GUCACGUAAAAAGCAGAAACGAAAUGAGUCUGAUUUACCAGGAUUUUCAUCCUUCAACCUGUAUUGGAUGGCCAGUUCUUUUCGCGUGUGGGUUUCGGGUGUAAUGACGUCCAAAAUCAUCUGAAACAGGCUAAGGAAGGAGGAUCAAUAUGGAUAUGAAAAUUUCUUAUGAGAGAAAUAUUAAACAAAGAGCUUACGAGUGCGGUU
rnacentral:lncRNA from 1 species